CCACCUCGUCUAGGAUUUCCACACUCCAACUCCCUCGUAGCCGCCUGCCUGCCUUCCUUCCCUCCCCACCCCCUCUCCUCAGUCUCUAAGGCGCUCUCCUCCCGAGCAAGAGCACGCGGCCCCCGCCUACCCACCCCCGCCCCGCGGCCCGCCCCGGCGGCUCCUCCUCCAGCCUCCUGGCCCGCCAGGUGCUCCGGGCCGCAGCGUCCAGCCCGCCCAGUCCCCCCCCUCCCCCCGCCAUAGCAGAGCGGCCCAAGGGAAGCCGGCACUGGAGGAAGGGAGAAUAGGGGGCGCGCGAGGAAUCUUCCCCAGCUCGGACUCCCCCCUCCCCGGCCACGCAUGCAAACGCAGGGAGAACCAUUCGACCGCACUUCCUACUCACCACAGGCCAGGGUCUCGGACCCGCUGUUCCAGCAGCGCAAUCCGAGCCCGGUGCCGGGAAGCGGGCUCACUGCUACUCCGAGAGCCGCCUGGGCCAGCGGUGGGAGCCGCUGAAGCGCCAAUUCAGACGUGUCCCCGGCGCCCCCCCUUCGGUCGCCUCCACAAUCCCUCAGGCUGGAGCAGAGGAGAAUGCCGGCCGGGUCGCGGCUGUUUACCACCCAGCCUGCACCGGGCGGGCUUCCGGAACUUAAGCAAAGGCGUUAAAAGGCUUCGGAGAACCCCCUUGAGGACGCUCAACAAAGACCCAAGCUUAGGACGUUUCUCCCCAACUUCCCACCAAAUAUCCCGGUCCCGUGGGCUUACCAGAUGGGGCCAGCCAAUGGCCGUCUUUGACCUUUCCUCCGGAGGCGACUCCUUCCUGUUCCGCAGGCCCAAAGGGACCCUUGUCUGCCGCACCGAGCAGGCCUCUCCGUCCAGUGCCGCCACUCCCGUGGCACUCCUUCCCUGCAGUCCCCAGCCUUCCUCCUCCACCACAGCCCCCGAGCCGACGCCUCAGCACUUCAAACGACGCUUCGGAUCCAAGAAGCCCCCUCAAGCCCCUUCGAGCGGUAACUUCGCAGCCAAAGUGGACACCCAGCGGCAUGGCUCGUCUUCCCCCCCGCCUGUCCCUGGAAACGUCCCCAGGGAGAGCCUCAGCAAUGGAGGCCGGCCUCCAGAGGAGGAAAGCCGGCCGUCGUCUGCUCCUGCUUCGCCCGCGUCCGCACGCGGCAUUCCGGGCUCUUCCAUGGCGGGACCAGAGCAGCGGCCUCCUCCCUGGGGGCUUCUGGGAGCUGUCCGUUCCCCUGUGCAUUUCUGUCAUGGAGAGGAGCACGCGGCCCUUUCCCUCUCCUCCAGAAAGAUGGGCUGCCUUGAGCCGGGCCUGCCCAGCAGCCAUUAG
rnacentral:lncRNA from 1 species